rnacentral:rRNA from 1 species
AACGGCCGUACCAUGCUGAAUAUGCCGGUUCUCGUUAGAUCACCGAAGUCAAGGGCGCGGUCAGUACUUGGGUGGGUGACCACCUGGGAACACUGCGUGCCGUU